rnacentral:misc_RNA from 1 species
AUAGAAACCUGGUACCUAACAAGGAACACUUCCGGUCGUCAUAAACGAUGAAUCUGUUGACGAAUCUUUAAUAUAAUUGAGUACUAUUUAAGGUCAAUAGCAAUAUAUCUUUUUAGACCUUUGCUUAUAAGGAAAAUAGAAAUCACCCACUGUCUUAUCAAAUAUAAUUCUACUUGAGUUACACUCCCAGCACAAUGACUGAUCCGGAUACAGAAUCGGGUAGUUUCCUCGACCAAACUGAUACAUCUUUGAAUGCAGUCAGCCCUGAAAAACAGGCCAUUGCCGCACAAGCCGUUGAGGUACAGAGAAAAAUUGACAAAGUUCUGGUUAAGAUAAAUGAAAAUCAGAAAAAACGUGAAAACCACCUGGCUCAGUUCAUCAAUUUCGAGACAGGAGGAUCUCAAGAUCCUGGCCUCUACCAGCGCAUGAAAUCGUACUUUGAAAAGCACAAUGAAAGGUUGAAUAAAGAAACAGAGAUGCUGCAGAAAAAGAUGAAAAAGUACCAGGAAAAACUACAGCUAUUGAAACUUGACGUCUUUCCAACUCCUAGUCACAAAAUACAACAUCCUGGAUCUUUUAUAAAAGGUGUUGCAAAUUCAGUGAAGGAAGUGUCAGUCUUGAAAACAAGAUUGAAAAACAAGAGAUAUCCAAGUGCUGAUCAUAUUACAACUAAUACCUCCACGACAAGCUCAACAAACGAUGACUCUAAAACCUGUAAAACCAGCCGGACACUUCCUUCAUCCUUUCAACCUCAGCCAGUACAGGCUCAAAAAGCCUCGUCGACAGGAAAUACUUUACCUAAUCAUGACGAAGAUGAAGAAGUUGAAGGAAAUUCUUCAGUUACGAACGAAAGUGGCGGGCUUCUCCAAACUCCAGUCAUAUUAAAUCAAGAAAUAUUGGAUGAUUUAGGCAAAAAAUACGAUUCUUUGAAUCAUCGAUUUGACAACUACGACCAAUACCAAAAAGAAAUUCUUCAGCAAUUAACUUCACUUAACGAUCGAUUCAUUAGAAUAGAAUCGGAUCAUUUGAAUACCGAUUCGGAAAUUAAAAUGAUUCAGGAAAAUGUAGCAGAUAUAAGUAAUUCGUUCAACCAAUUUAAGGAUGCAGUUAAUGAAAACAUUUCACAAACCGAUUUUAAAGUUGUAGAAACUGGGAAAGAGACAACUGAAAAGAUUACUCAUUUAGACGCUAAAAUUACAUCAUUAGAGCAUAGAGCAGAUCAACAAUUGCCUGAUUUUGGUGUAGGUAAUAGUGCAAGCGCAAGGGCUGUUAUAACAAAGGUGGUUAACGUUGCUUUGGCCAUAGUAACUGUAAUUUUAGUAAUGCUAUCUAUGAUAGCAACUUUAAGUGGACCACUUCUAUCGACUAAAAUACGGACUGUUAUGUCUGUAAUCAUGGUGGGGCUCAUUGCCGUUGCUGUUCAAUAUUGGGAUAUCAUAAAAGACGAGUUACUACAAUUAUAUAGGCAAUAUUUGGCAAAUAGGAGUUUAUAGAAAACUGUUUAUAGGAAAAUGGCUUAGCUUUUUUCUUUUUUUUUUUCAUAUUUUAUUUUUAAAAAUUUCAUCAUUUACUCAACUGUCUCACAAACUGAUUUACUGGACAAACACUUAAAAAGAGAAGAAAAAAAAAGAAAAGCAGAAAAAUUUCAGAGUAUAUCAGUUUCUAUGUCAAAUUUCUUAACUUAACCUUCCUUCUCCUCCACUCCCUUUCCCCUUUUUUUUUCUUUUAAAUUUAUUCAUUCCCUUAAUCUUUCUUGCCUUCCUUUUCCCUCCUCCUCCUACUACUCCUCUCUAUGUUUUUUUAUUGGAAACUAGUUGCACCCUUUGAAAAAAUAGAAAAAGAAUAAGAAAUAGUUUAUAAUAAAGAUAUUUGUCACCAAAAAUAUACUGUAACAUAUAAAAUAUAUAAGAGCAUAAACAGAUUAGCCAUGUAUGUAAUUUUAUUAAAAGUCUAUGAUUUUUGUUUAAUUUUAGGUUUUUUUUUCUUUUGAGAUUUAUAUUAUUUCAAUUUUUACCUAUGCCUCUUCAAACGUUGAAAUUCAUCAACGUUAAACAAGUUGAUCAUAAAUAUCAAAUAAAGUUUAUUUUUUUUUUUAUAAAAAAAAAAUAUAUAUAUAAAUUUAUAUAUUUGAAUAAUAAAACUGUAGCAAAGAGAUUUUUUUUUAAUAUUGGUUUAGCAUCAGUUAUUAAUGAAAUUGCUAAAAUAAGAAUGAAUCGUGACUCUUGACUUACAGCGGUCACGAUUAGUUUGUAAAUUCAUAGCAGAUGAUAAUAAAUCUUUACGUACUUGUACUUUAAACUGACGAAUAGAUGUUUAUCUUCCUGUACGACUGAUAAUCUUAAAACGAAACAUAUUUAAUAUAUAGACAUCAGUUGUUUUCAUUACUUUUGCAGCAAAUUCGUUUAAUAUUGGUGAAUAAAGAUUUAAUAUUAAUAUUCGUUAUCGUUAUGCCCGCAUGAUCUCUUAUUACCUUUUUAAAUAUGACAAUAAUUACGUAAUUUACUAGCUAACCUUAUUUGAUGCACUUUGUAUGUCACACCAGAUGGCGUAUAUGAACGGACUCGUUAAUUUUUCUCAAUGCAAUUGUCUGUAUAUGCAUACAUAUAUAUAUAUAUUUGUUUUUGAAAGUUUCAAAAGUAGGCUCGGAAAUAAAGAACAAUGUUCUUAAGCAGUUAUAUAAAUUUUUUGCAAUGAAAAUAACAUUCUGCAAUAAAAAUAAAAUGAUAUUUCAAAUUUUUUCUAAAAAUCCUUCAUCCAUUAAAAUUGGCUCUAAUGGUAUAUCGUCCAUAUUUGGUAGAACCAAUAUCCUUUCGAACUCUUUUACAAGUUUGUUUUCUAUCCAAUCUGUGACGUGAGUAACGCUUACUUGUCUCUCUCCAAUUUUUGGAGUUGCAGUAAGCCACAUGUGAGGAGGGUGUUUAAAACCCCACCAUAAACGAUCAGUCGGUGGGUGUGGUAUAUGCAAUACUAGAGUUCCAACGCAACUUUUUAUAUCAACUGUCAAUUGAAUGGGUGUGUUAGAUACUUCUUUCAUUGCUCUUUGCACAUAUCUAUUUUCAGCUGCAGCAUGAAAAUAUCUGCUGUUUGUUAUUCGAUCUACUAACUGCAUUAUUUUCUUCUUAUUAACACUCUUUUGUAAGCGAGCACCAACUCCAGUGUGCAGUCCAUUCGAGUUUUUCUCAGAGUCGCUCACAUCCUCGGGUUCUUCGUCAGUUGAACUUUCGGCACUAUCCUCUUCAUCGGAAUCCGUAACGGGGCUUUUUUUAUCGGUUGUUGGCGACGAGGUUACACUAUCGCUUUUACGUAACUUCAAAAGAUUCACCUUUGUUUCGAUAGAUAAGGCUACACCGCCACUAUAAGCCAUAUCUAUAUCGAUCCAGAGUCCAUCUGAGUCGACAUAGGGGACUGCGCUUCUUCUGAGUAUUGGUACUGCUUUCCCCAGGUCUAUUCCAACUAUCACGAGAUCAUCAACAAAGACUGGUUUAUUAAUUUUAGCUAGUUUUUUUUGAAUUUUUGACAUUAUUCUAGCAGCCCAAAGAGGCUGUUUUAGAACAUCCCAGAGGAUUCUUGAGAUGAUAGCGUUUAUCCAUAUCAUUGAAGGUUCACAAAGGACUCUUCCAAUUUUUUCACAGCUAAUUUUCGGCUUUGUACUACAAAGAGAUUCUGGAGGUAGAAUUCGAGAUAAAUGAAGUAUGAGAGACUCCAAAGAAGCCUCUGGAUUAUUCAUACUAGGUAAAGAUUGAUCUUUGACAAGUGUUUCCAAUGCAGAGGUACUCAAACGUUUUUCCAGUGUUCCUUUUUUACCUAUAUCAGGUAACUUUGAUGGAAUGGGCAUAUUUAAAGAAGCCGAAUUCAUACGAUGAAACCAUUGCUCUUUUUGAAGGCAAGUUCUAGCAAAGAGUAUAAUGUUCUUUGAUCCAUCUGAAGGCUUUAUGCAUAUCGGAUAUUUUUUACUCCAAAGUCUCUUAUGAACCAAUCUAUCAGGAAGUAAAAUAACAUUACAAUCUCUUAAAUCGACCGUCAUAGACUCAUCAAGGAAUUGUGCCUGGGCCGGUAUUGGAAGAUUGUGUUUAUAGCAUGCUCGGCGAGGGAGUGAUUGCAGAGCAAUUUUCACAUUCAAAAUGCAAGUAUCUAACUGAACAAAAGCGCUCUUUGUGUCUAUCAGAUGAAAAUUUUCCGAAUUAUACUCUCCGUUUGAUAAUAUAUUCAUCCAGCCUUCAAAUUUACAGGAUCUGUCGGCUAAUCCUCGACUAGGUGGCAUAGGAGGUAAAUCUUUAACAUCUGGCAAUGGUGGUGGGUUGAAAUGCCAUGGGUUGAACGUAUAGAUGAUAAAAGGCACAACAAGCGCCGACAAACAAGCACCAAUAAUUAAACCAGACAUAAAUGAACAUAUAGGUGAACAUAUAGCUGCAAGUAAUACAAGUAGAGCUAAAAAUAAGUGACCUUUGCUGAAUGACGGUUUCCAUUUUGGAUGAAAAUUACUGGGAUUUGACUUAGGGCGCGUUUCAUUUACAGGCUGCUCUAGAAGUUCAUUCAAAUUUAAGGGAUAAGAUUUAGAGGAAGUUUUUGGCAAAUGAGGUGGUGUAUUAUCAAAAUCUUCGGUUAAUUCCUCGCCUUCUUCAUCCGCGUCAUCCAUAGAGGCAGGUGGGACUAAUUCAAAAUCAGGACUCAAUUUGAAAUCGGCACUUGAAUGUCUCGAAUGCUUUCCUGGAGAGCUUCUCUCAGAGGGAACUGUAUCAACGCUAACGCUUUUUUUCAUUUGCGACUCUUUCUUAUCAGACGAAUCUAAUUUUUCAGUGAUAAAUGUGGAAAUGGAGUCUGGCAAGCGAUCUUGCAGCUCGGGUAGUUUCUCGUGCCAUUUUUCCGAUAAACGCCCUUUUAGCUCCUUCAAGUCUUUGAAAAAGAAAGAUUUUUGUUCCAUUUCCGGUGUCUUCUUCUUUUCGCAAACAGCUGUCUCAACUGCAUCCCCUGUAAACUUGACCGAUGUCAUUAGUUUUGUCAAUGACUCGGGCGGUGUUGUUGAUCUUGGAGAAGUUGACAUUGCUACAGGUAGAACAAAACUUCAAUUAAAUAUAGGAAAUAGCGUACAAAAAAUUACCUCAAUUAGGAAAUAAUGUGAUAAAGAUCAAAUUGAGUAUUUUAAUGCAUAUGUUCUACAUAUAUUACAAUCGGUAUCGGUGAAAUUAUCUAAAUCUACUUACUGAUCAAUACUCAAUUAGUGGAAUAUUUCCAUUAUUUUUGUAAAUUACUUUCUAUAUUAACGAAUUAUAUCAACACUUAAGAAAUAUAACGUAAUUUCUUUUUCUAUUUGUCUUCGUCAUCUGCUGCUGACAAAUAGCAGACUCGCACUGAAUUAUUCCAUUCGACAUUUAAUUUUAACGCGGAGCGCGCCAAUAUCAUAAAAAUUACAUUGGACAAUUAACUACGUCUACUUUAUUAAAACAUUAAACAGUUAACUCUAUAUUUUUCACUGUAUUAAAUCAAAUUAUUAAUGAAUCUUUCAUUUACUUAUCUAACCUGUAGGGAAGAAAAUUUCUAUGUUUAUACUAUGUUUGGUAUUUCACUGACGUAUUUUCCGGUAUUUUGUAGUAGUACUCUGUUGAAAUAUAUCAAGGAAAUCAAAUCGUAGAAUAUGUUUUGAGUAGUACUCAAAGAAAAAGAAUUUAUUCAGAGAAUAGGCCCAUUUACUCAAAAGAAAAAAAAAUGUUAUAUCUCUUAAAGAGUGCUUUUUAAUGGAGAAUUACUAAUCUUUAAAUUUUACAAGACUAAAAGUAUAAUAUUACCAUAUAUUUGAAUUAUACUUAAAUAAAACGUUUAAGAUUGUAUAAGAUUAGUAAACAUGACAAAAAAAAAUGAAAGAACCCAUUCUUAUCUUGUUCUAUUUAAC